GAGUAGCUGGGGGCGGAGCAUGUAGAAGACACAGAGCUAAGAGGAAUGAACUUACCACACAGGCAGAGCUUGGGGCUGCAGGGGACAGACUCUCGGAUGCUUUGCUGGGCAAACACACCCCAUCAGAGACUCUCUCUCCGCUGGCUUCGUGUUUCUACAAACCUGCUGCUCUAGUGAGGAGAUGCCAACCUAAGAAGGCUGUGGGGAUACCUUUGCACACAACCCCAAGGACCCUGAUACACGGCACGGCUCGCAGCACCACAGAGGACAAGAAACAGCUCGGUGGAUUGAGGCUUCCUGUGUGAGAAGUGGGGAAGGAAGCCUCCUUCCCAUUCUCACAGGGCAUGAUGGAGCAAGGCAACGGGACCCUCCCGUCUGUAACCUGGGCAAAUUCUAGCCAGUCCUCCGUACCCACGAAGGAUGUUCAGCUGGCCUCAGCCGGGCUUCUGUUCCCCACUGUCCUGGUGG